ACCCUUCUCGCGGAGUGUUGAAGUUUCAAGUGCAAAUCAAUCUUUACUAACGACCCUACUUUUGGGGGCAAUAUUUGACAUUCUCGUUAUGGAUGACAGUGUGUUCGAGGACGACGAUUGGGCAGAUGAGGCCCUUUUGAUGGAAUGCGAAAAGGCCGAGGAGGCAUUACUCUUGAAGGCGGUAUCUCAGACGCCUUCUUCUCCUCAGGCCGAGCACUUGAAGGUUUUGCGCCAGAAUUUUGGACAUUCGCGUUUCAAGGAUUUGCAAUGGCAGAUCAUCCGAUCUGUGUUGGAAGAAGCUCAAGACCAAUGUGUGGUCAUGGCCACGGGCUACGGCAAAUCACUUUGCUAUCAGUUUCCACCCGUGUUUCUAAACAAAACGGCCUUGGUGAUUUCACCGUUGAUCGCGUUGAUGGAAGACCAAGUGAUGGCCCUGGAGGUGGCCAACAUUCCUGCUACUUAUUUGGGAGGCUCACAAACCAACAAGUCGGACAUUUAUGACGGUAUCAAGGCCAAUCAGUACAGGGUCGUUUAUUUGACCCCCGAGUUUGUGGACAAAUCCGGGGAUAUGAUCGAGAAUCUGUUCUCAGUCCAGAGUCUCUGUCUGAUUGCCAUUGACGAGGCUCAUUGUGUGUCUCAAUGGGGUCAUGACUUUCGCUCUUCCUACCGACAUCUCUAUCGCCUUCGGGAUAAAUUUCCCACCACGCCUAUUUUAGCCCUCACGGCCACAGCCACCGACCAGGUCAUCCAAGAUAUGGAAAAAUCGCUCAAACUGAAGCGUUGCCAAGUCGUGAAAACCUCCUUCGAUCGCCCUAAUCUGUAUAUUGAGAUACGACCAAAAACGAGCCCUUGGAACGACUUGAAUAUCAUCUCCAGCUACGACGAAGCUACGGGUACGCGAUCCAUAAAAGGCUCAACCAUUAUUUAUUGUCCGACCAGGAAAGAGGUGGACAAUAUUACGGAUGUUCUUGCCAAGCAAGGGUUGAACGUCCGAUCGUAUCACGCCGGAUUGUCCUUAAAGAAGCGAGAGACCAGCCAUAAAGAAUUUAUUCGGGAUCAAUGUGAUGCCAUCGUGUGUUCAGUAGCCUUUGGCAUGGGAAUCAACAAGCCAGACGUAAGGCGGGUCAUCCAUUAUGGAGCCCCCAGGGACAUGGAAUCUUAUUAUCAGGAAAUGGGCCGAGCGGGUCGCGAUGGCCAACCAGCUUCGGUCAUGGUAUUUUAUGGAACAAGCGAUUUUGUCACCCAUCGACAUCUUCUACUAGACAUAAAAAAUGAGGUUUGGCUUCAAAACCGAAUGGAUUUGGUCCAUCAAAUGGAAGUGUUUCUGGGCAAAAAGAAAUCUUGCCGUCGAGCAGAUAUUCUCGCUCAUUUUGGACAGACCUUGGACAAAGUCAGAUCCACAAAAUGUUGCGAUAAUUGCACUCAAUCUCUUUUAAGCACGCCAAGAGAUCAAGCUUGCGCCAAUCAAGAAGAUGAAUUAGUGGACUUCUCCGAGGAUGCUCGAUUGAUUUUGGAGUCGGUUAGGCAAUGUGGUGGUGUGUAUGGGCUUGGGAUCCCUUGUGCAGUUCUCAAAGGGGUCUCAGACAAGACCGUGAAGCAGUAUCUAACUCAGUUACCAAUAUUUGGGAAGGGUAAGAGCAAGGCCAAAACCUUCUGGAUGGCCUUGGGUCGCAGCUUAACAGCCCAGGGUUACAUAGGUCAAAAGGCUGUGGUCGGAGGUCAAUUCAAAGUUAGUACCUGCCACAUCACGGGCAAAGGAUCAAAAUUCCUCCGGGAUUCUACGUCUCAGUUCAAGCAGAUCCCAACAAAAGAGCUUCAAACCCCUGAUAUGAAACAGAAGCAGCCAGAUUUCAAAAAUGCUUAUCCAUCUCAAGUAUCAUCCGAGGAUUGGCGAUCAAAAUCCAACGAAUCGUCGUCCAAGAUCGAAGAUAUUCACAUGAAGCUAGCCCGUCGUCGCUCUACAUUGGCCAACAAACUAGGGUUGGCCCCAUAUAUGGUCCUACCUGAAGAGAUCCUCCAACAAUUAUCCUUAAUUCGCCCUUCAUCAGUGGCCAACAUGGAAAGAUUAGGCAUUCCAAGAGCUAAAGUCGAAAAAUUUGGACAAGACUUUGUGGACGAGAUAACAUCAUGGUGCACUUUGAAGGCUCUUCCAAUGGACAAUGAAGUCAAUGUGAUUAAUAUUGACGAGAGUUCCCUCAACGAAACACAGCAAACAAGCUAUACACUCUUUCAAGAACUGGGCAGCCUUGAGGCUGUAGCGGCUCAAAGAGGUCUCAAACCCUCCACCAUUGCCAACCAUUUGAGCGAAGCUAUUAAAGCUAGACUUCCGGUGAACAUAGACAAACUAGGAUUGGAUCCGAGAAUGCGCGCCAAAAUCGAACAAAUCAUCUUUGAUCCACCCAUAGCUUCCAACAUUUUAAGGCUGGGUCCAAUCAAGGAAGAGUGCGACAAGAGAGAUUUGACUGUGGGAUGGGAUGAAAUCAAGAUCACUGUCGCUCUGAUAAUGACGGAGAAUGAAGUGCGGGAUAACAUCGUCCAAUGGUCGGACGAGAAAUUGAAGAAGCUCACCAAGCCAAUUGAAAAUUUGGCGCCAAAUACACUUCACGGCGCAGUGAGCAAAAACGGAGAAGGACCCCGGCCAAGAGAAUUGCCCGCUUGGAUGGGCCGAUCGGGCAGUGCUGAUAAAUCUAGUUUGUCCAAGAAGCUUAAAAAGAACAGCAUUUUUCGAUGAAAAUUCACGCCUGAGGAAUCUCAAGAGUGUUCAACAUGACGGUCUGAUGUACACCAGGAGCCAUUAACUAAAUCAAACGCCAUGACCGAUAGUGCCAAAUACAGCUUUUCCCAUCGCAAAUAGCACACCUAGGGCUGUCUCGAUCGUCAUGAAGCUCUACCUCAUCGUGGCUGCCUGUGAAGGCAUGGGUAUUGGCCUGAAUGGAGGCCUGCCUUGGCGAUUGAAAGAAGAAGUCAAGUAUUUU